rnacentral:rRNA from 1 species
AGCUUCAGUAGCGUAUAUUAAAGUUGUUGCAGUUAAAAAGCUCGUAGUCGCAUUUCUGGCGAGAGGAUCCGGUCCGACCUUUUGGUGGGUUCUUGGGUCUCUUUCGCCAUCCUUGAGUGGUCCGUUCUGGCAUUAGGUUGUCGGAGCGUCAGCCGCUCAUCGUUUACUGUGAGAAAAUUAGAGUGUUCAAAGCAGGCUUAUGCCGUUGAAUAUAUUAGCAUGGAAUAAUAAGAGAGGACCUCGGUACUAGUUUGUUGGUUUGCGCACCAAGGUAAUGAUGAACAGGGACAGUUGGGGGUAUUUGUAUUUCGUUGUCAGAGGUGAAAUUCUUAGAUUUACGAAAGACAAACUACUGCGAAAGCAUUUACCAAGGAUGUUUUCA